GCCGGGUGUUGUGAUGGGCGCCUGUGGUCCCAGCUACUUGGGAGGCGGAGGCAGGAGACUCACUUGAGCCCAGGAGUUGGAGGUUGCUGUGAGCUGUGAUGCCACGGUACUAUACCCGUGGGACAGCUUGAGGCUCUGCCUCAAAAAAAAAAUGUGUUAUUAAUUUCCUUAUUUUUAUUUUUUCUUUUCUUUCUUUUUUUUUUUUUUUUGAGACAGAGCCUCAAGCUGUCCCCCUGGGUAGAGUGCCAUGGCUUCACUGCUCACAGCAACCUCCAACUCCUGGGCUCAAGCGAGUCUCCUGCCUCAG
rfam:Otolemur garnettii contig186944, whole genome shotgun sequence.